rnacentral:lncRNA from 1 species
UCCAAGAUAAUCUAUUUUAACAUCAGUUUUUUAGCAACUUUAACUUCAUCUGGAACCUUAAUUCCCACUUUACAUGUAAUGUAACAUUCACAAGUACUGAGGAUUAGGGCAUAGAUAUUUGUGGGGUGGUGGUUGUUCUGACUAAUGUGGAAAAUAUUUCCAUUUUUUUAAAAGAAAUUGCAAAGCCAUAUUUUAAGUGAAAUAUCUGAAUAUUUAAAUGUUUAAAACUAAUUAUAAUUUUUUUAACUCUAUAAGAUACAUAGCAUCUUUGUAGUUCCCUUUUGGCCUACAGGCUGCCUUUUUACAGCCACUUGUCUGUUACAUGUCUGAUUCUAUUCAAAGCUUCGUGUCCUUUUUAGUCAUUUUUUUUUCAGUCUAAUUGGGGAAUUAAAUAUUUAAGAAUGUCUGUAAAGCAAUAUGGGAACAACGCAGUAUAACAAAUGCUACAUAGGGAUUUAGGGGAUGAUCAUUGCAGAGGGAAGCAAGAUAUGUCUUGAAAAAAAUAAGGAUUUAUAUUGACAAAAGGAAACUUAAAGGAUAUUAUGUUUGGGUAGAGCUAUAUUAUUAGCAGCAGGGUUAGGAAAGAACAGGUUAUGUAUUAACUAACAGACCUAGAAGCUGGUCUUGCUAGAGUAGGAGGGACCAGGUUAGCAAUAGAUCAAAUGAUGUAGUGGCUCAGUUAGUAAAGAGCUUCAAGGCUUUCUUUAGAGUUUGGCUUUAUUUUGACAUGCAUUAAGUUGUUGUUUUGGGUUGUUGGGCUAAAGAAACACAUAGAUAUAAUACUGGAUAAGAAAGCUACUUUGAGAAUUAUCCUAAAAAAGAAGGCAUGAAGACCAGAAAGAUGACUAUUUUAGUUAACCAGGUGUGCAAUAAUGAGGAAUCUACAGUGGUAUUCUCAAUGUGGAUUGAAUCAAAUCUGAAAGCCAUUGCAAGGAAAGGAUGAGCAGGGCUGGUGAAUGACUGAAGUGAGGAGCUAACAAGAUAAAGGCAGUGUUAAGAUUUCAAGCAUGAAGACCAGGAAGACAAUGGAAUCAUGGAGUCAUUGACUGAGGCAUAUAGAUUUGGGUAAUGAAAACCAGUGGGUUAGGUGGCUUCCUCUCCACCCCCAAGGGAAAAGUGCACAGGGCCAUGGACCAGGUUUUAAGAUAUUCCUGUAUUAUAGUAGUGGAGAAAAGGUAAGGGAGCAGAGGAAGGGAAAGCAGAACCAUUAUAACAGAGUAACUGUAUACACUAGAGAGGGGAGGAAUUUUAUGGUAAGGAAAGAAAAAGAAUUCCAUGAUAGCAAAUACAGUUUGGGGAUUUUUUUUUCUGCAAUAUAAAAAUUGAUAUAGAAGUUGAAAGGGCAAGAUAAGGAAUACUUACUCCAAAGAGUUUGCAAUGGAAUUUGAAUCAGAACUGGAAUGCUCAUUAAAGGUGAGAAGAUAAAUUCCUAGUUUUGCUAAUCUUGAAGUGGUUACAUGAUAGAAAAAGGCCAUAGAAGAGUAGGGGGCAAUGUUCCUGAGAAGGUAAAUGUAGGAGGUCCCCUUGAAUGUCUAUCAGAUCACAGCUUCUUCCAUGAGAUAUGCUCAGCCUACUUUUGGGGUGAGCCCAGGAAACCCCUUUCUGUUUUGUGACCUCACCGUAUUGGCUACAAUGUAUUUUCAGAGAGAGGAAAUGGGCACCUACUCAACCUAGGCCAAUUAGAGUCUCUCUUUUUUUCUAGGGAUUCAUCAGUGAGCCUGAAAAAUGUGUCAUUUAUUUCUGUGGGUGACAGGAAAUGAGGACAUGUAAACUCAAGUUCUGAAUGUGUUAUUUGACUAUGUACAUCACAGCGGUGAGAAUCAGUCAAGAGGUGAGAGGGAGAGAAAGAAAAGAGGCAGAAAGAGAGGGAGGAGUGAAGUCGGGAGGGGCAGAAAGUUGCAAACACUACCUAUGGUCCUGCUGGCUUUCUCUUCUUUUGCUUUGAACAUCUGCCAGUUUCCCUCUUCCCCUGGAUUUCUGUGAUUAAUCCAUUGUCUUCCCCACACAUUCUCUUCUUGGCUUAAACUAGGUUGAAGAGAUUCUGAUACUUUUAACCAAGAGAGCUGUGAAUAAGAUGUGAGGACAGAUUAAAUCUGGAACAUUGGUUGACAUUUUGAGCACAAUGCUUCCUCAGUAACAGGGAAGUAGAGAGAACUGGUACAAUAAAUGAUCUGGGAAGCCGGAAAAGCAAAAGAGGUACUUUGGAAACUCAUAUUCUUCACCCUACAAUGAGUUCAACCUCCACUUUAGAAAUACUUCUGAGACGGCCUGCUUAUGCCACUAUUCUUAGUAAGGUGCCCCUUCUGUAUAUUCCCUCCCACAAGGAUGCCCCCAUCACAGCAUUCGUUUUAGUGUAUUUAAGUUGUGGGUGCACUUGCCUGUAACAGCCUCUGGACUUUAACCUCUGUGGAGUCAGGGACCAUGUAGUUGUUGAAAGAAUAUUUCAUUUGGUCUCAGUGGAGACUGAUAUUUUCUGCUUUGCACAAUUGAAACAGCUCUUCCUUGAAAUGUUUAGAGAAGAAAUAUAGAGUUGCCGAAUGUAACAUCAUGAGAACAUGCUUCAAAUAUGUUGUUUAAUUUCUUAUUACAGUUGUGAAAUAGUUAAAGUAAUUUAUCUAGAGAUUUGUUUUGGAAAGCUGUUAAUUUCUUCAUUACUAUUAAUGACUUUCAAAAGCAAUCUCAAGAUAUCAUUACACAAGGAUUUCUAGGGUCUAGAUCUUCUAAAUACAAAUAUGGAGGGAAAGGAAAAAGACAGAAGGUUCAUGAUGAUAUGUUAUUUGUUAUAGCACAAAAUUUGUUAAGAAAUCUAAUGUGCAGUUUAAGGGAGUGUGAUAAAAAAAAAAUCAAGGGAGGAAAUCUAGCCGUAUCAUAAAAUGAGAUGGGCACUGGACUAGUUUAUACUAGUAGUAUCUAGCUCUUGUAAGCUUUGGGUCAAGAAGCCCUUCCUUCCAAACAGGUCUUCAAGUCCAUUGCUUACUCCUUGAAUGAUCUCUAAAUAAAGAAAUUGACAUGUAGCUAUCCUUUACAAUAUGACCAGAGACCUUUGAUAGUAAGAAGAAAGUGUAACAGUGAUGUUACUGUGGACAUAGUUGGGUCUAGCCGUAAGCUAUGGUUAGGUCUAGCACCACAUCUUGGAUUUGUAAGCUGUAAAACAGACGUUAAACUUAACUUGUAUUUCCAAGGCUUGAUUCUUGUAGACUGUUGUCAUGGGCCUUAGACAAAUUUGCCAUCCCUUUAGAACUAAUUUUAGCAGAAUUGACUCAUGUGUUUGAAAAUGGUUUUGAAGAUGCAAAGUCCUUGGUUCUAGACAUGAGAAUGCAUUUAUUCAUUUAUCCUCACUCCCUGCUUUACUCCGUAUUGAAAAGCAGCUGGUGUAUGAGGCAGAGGCCCUCCCAGCCUCUCCCACCGUGUCACUCAUGUCAGGGCUGGCAGGGAUCAGAUUGUCAGUCUGCCCAGGUCUUCCUGCACAUACUUGAGCUCUCUGAAUCAAUUUUUUUCCCCUCAUUGAAACCCAUUCCAUCAUCUUCUGAACAUAUUGAUCUUCAGUCAUGCACAUACUCAUCAUACUCUUCAUGGUGUUUCUGCCUGCAGGCCUCUCCUUCUCAUUAUUUUUAUAUUGGUCACUCUGUCCUUACAGCUGAUGCCAAUCAUGCUUCUUACAAGUGCAUUUCAAAGGCAUUGAGCCUCUGGUGUUUCACUCACAGGAAAAUAGCCCUGAAUCUCUCCUUUGUACCUGUAGUACAGAUUCACUUAGCUGAUUUCAUUUGAGUACUCGUAAAAAAAUUUUAAGAACUUUUAGACAAGUACGUGCACUUUCCACCCCUCCAUGCAUUCCCUUCUCACCUGAUACACAAGUGAAAAGAGAAGGUUUCAUGUGAGGAGCACAGAGAAUGGUUGUACCACACAAAACAGAAAGGAUCGAUGACCUGCAGUCAUAUUAACCUUUGGCUGUGACCAUCUCGGGUCUCCUAUCUGAGGAGGGCCUAGCUGGCUCCAUCUUUUAAAUAGACGACCCUAUGGGAGAGCCAAGAGGUGGUCAGAAGCACUCUUGGUGAUCUUGUUUGUGACACUGCAUUCUGGCAGUUCUGCAACUCUGCCUUUCUCAAGAAGAUUAUGUGUGCUCGCUGGAUUUCUUGUAGAAAUAUUCCCACAAUUGUUCCUAGCCUGUUGUGGUCAUUGUGUAUUGGUCCUACAGUACCUUUAAAUAAUUUGGUCCACUUAGAUUCAAUAAAAAUAAUGACAACAACCAUAAUAGUUAUGUCUGAAAUGGUAUGAAUUGUUAGCUGCUGUGCAGCCUGCUCCAUCUCAUUAAAUUUUCAAUAAUGUCAAAUAGCUUUUAGCUAUGGGUAUGGAGGCUGUGAAUUAGAAACAUUAACAUAUUUCAUCAAUUUUGAGAUGUACCUUGUCUUAGUCUAUUCAGGCUGCUAUAACUAAAUAGCACAGACUAGUUGGCUUAUAAGCAAUAAACAUUUAUUUCUCAUAGUUCUGGAGGCUGGAAGUCCAAGACCAGGGUCAGGCACGGUCAGUUCCCAGUGAAGGCUCUUGUCUACCAUGCAGACUGUUGACCUCUUAUUGGGUCCAUACAUGAUGGAAGGGGCUAUGGAGAUGUCUCAGGCCCCUUUUAUGAGGGCACUAAUCUCAUUUAUGAGGGCAGAGCCUCCCAAAGGUCCUGCCUCCUAAUACCAUCACCUUGGGAAUCUUUAUGUAACUGGGUUUGCAAAGUAUGAAUUCGGAGGAGGACACAAACAUUCAGACCGUAAAAUACAUUUUUCACAUUUUAACAUUUCUCGAAUUGAACUUCAUCUUACUUACUUAAGAAUUUUAUGAAGAUAACUGGCAGUUUUGUUUUAUUUUUAUGAAUGGCACACACUUGCAUAUCUUACAUUCACGGGUGGUUUCACUUUCAUGAAAUAUGUCUUCUUGUUCAAAGCCAUCCAGUUAAUAUGUGGUAAAGCAGACUGGAGACCCCAUGCUAUGUUCUCAAAUAUUAUACUUCUAAGAAAGGAAGUCUGGGAAUGCGGUGGAAACAUGCUAGGUGUUUGAAGUAGUAUGUUCUUUAUGAAAUGUGCUAGCUCUUUGAAGUAUGAAGUUGUGACAUAUUUUUCCACUGCAAGGGUUGACAUCGAUAAAGGAUUUGUAAAGACCUGUAUUACUCUGGACCCAGUUUUUAGGGAAAGCAAUUAAGCAGGUUAAAGGAAGCUGUCUUAGUGGCACUGGAUGGAGAAGAUAACCUUGGAAAUGCCUUUCAGUUUUCCAAAUUCCGCUUCUGAUAUUUGCUAUGAGGAUUAGGGGGGAGACCUUUGAGUCUCUUUGUUUUUAGAAUCUUAUGCUCUCUGCACUUUUUCUAUCCUCUCUUCUGCGGUCCUGAGUAGUCCUUGAAUAUACAGGUUAUCCUCACAGGAUUCAUAACCCAAUUAAUCAAAGACAAGGACAACCAUCUCUUUGCUUAGGGACUGGUAGUUUUCCGUUACACAUUAGGAAAUGUGUCUCAGAAGGCAUUUAUCUUUCUUUACUUGCUGUUCACAUUGAAGAGUGAGAGAGUGAGAAAAGCAAUAAAUGAUCUCUCCUCUAAGUAUUUCAGCAUUCUCUGUAUGGCUUCUCAUGUUCCCCUGCCUCCUGUUUUAGUAGCACUUCAGAAUGUCUGCCAGUCUGUUUUAGAGACAGUUUAUUGGCUGUGAUACUGAGAAACAUGCAACUUAUGUUUCUUAACUUUUUUCCCUACUGUAUUUUCCUUUCCAAAUUAAUACCACAAAUGGCAACCAUUUUAAAAGUGGGAACUUGUCAAGAGAACUGGAAAAAAAAUCCUCCAAUCCCAGACUUCUGUGAUAUGAUGUUAAUGAAAUAUUUUGGUAUGCUGAAACCUUAAUUUAACACUGGUCUGGUAAGUGAAACUGUCUGUAAUGAGUAUCUUCAAGUCACAUAAACUUGUGAAACAUUUCCAAAGCUAAUCAGAGUUCUACAAUAUCAAAUUUUAUCUUAUAAUAGGUCACAUAAAGAAUUUCAAAUAUUUAACACACUCCCUUGUCAAAGAGUAACUUCCUUUUAGCUGUUAUGUCAGAUUUCUCAUUGAUCUUUGAUAAUGGUCAGUGCUUACCUUGGGAAUCUUUAUGUAACCAGGUCAUUUGUCACUGGAUGGAUAGUCUUAUAACCAGAAAUUAGAUGGCAAAUUCCAAUAUUCUAAUAAUGGCUUUUUAAGUCACAAGGUUCUUUUUUUUUAAUGACUUGUGGCUGUUUUAGACCUUUGAAAACAAUUACCCCAGCCUUUUCACUUAUUCUUUGCCUGGGGAUUAUUUCUUUUUAUCCGGCCUGCAAGAAGAUAAAGGUCAAAUUCCCACCUGAAAAAAGUUGGGGCAUUUCCAAACAGAAGUUAUUUCUCGAUUCGUCUUCCUCCUGCCUGCCUUGAACUAACUCAUCUCUUAUCUGCCAUCCAAUUAAUGCACAUCAGUUUUGUUUUGUCACCUCUGUUGAAAAAUGUGAUAGAGUGAUUAGUCCAAUUUUAUGCUAUUAUCUAACACAUCACACAUAUGUAAUUGAAACAAAAUGCUGCAGACAGACUUGCCUGAAUCUAUGUUUCAGUAAUUUCUCACAAAGAGUUGAUGUAAACAUCACUUCUUCAGAAACAAAGAUACUAGGGCCAGCUAAAUACUUUGUGGAGCUAAGU